CCUAUAGAAGUUCCUUUAGUAUUUGUUGUAAGGUUGGUUUAGUGUUGCUGAAUUCUCUUAGCUUUUGCUUAUCUGUGAAGGUUUCGAUUUCUUCAAAUCUGAACGAGAGCCUUGCUGGGUAGAGUAAUCUUGGUUGGAGAUUUUUUUCCUUUCAUCACAUUGAGUAUAUGAUGCCACUCCCUUCUGGCCUGCAGAGUUUCUGCUAAAAAAUCUGCCAAUAACCUUAUUGGGGUUCCCUUGUAUGUUAUUUCUUUUCCCUAGCUGCUUUCAAGAUUUUCUCUUUGUCUUUAGUUUUGGUCAGUUUGAUUAGUAUGUGUCUCGGGGUGUUCCUCCUUGGGUUUAUUUUGUAUGGUACUCAUUGUGCUUCCUGGAUUUGAGUGAGGGGUUCCUUUCCCAUGUUGGGGAAGUUUUUGGCUAUUAUCUCUUAGAAUAUUUUUUCUCCUCCUCUCUCUCUCUUCUCCUUCUGGCACCCCUAUAAUACAGAUGUUGGUGCAUUUCACGUUGUACCAGAGUUCUCUGAGACUCUCUUCAUUUGUUUUCAAUCUUUUUUCUCUUUUCUGUUCUGCAUCUGUAAUUUCCACUAAUCUGUCCUCCACCUCGCUUAUUUGUUCUUCUGCCUCCUGUAUUCUGCUGUUAGCUGCUUCUAGUGAAUUUUUUAUUUCAGUUAUUGUAUUUUGCAUCUCUUCUUGUUUAAGCUUGGUGUAGGCUUCCUGAUGGGAGGGGCUGAUGCCUGCCCACUGGUAGGUGGAGCUGAUUCUAAUCCCUCUUUUGGGUGGGGUUCAGUCUCUGGAUGGGAUUGGAGGUGGCUGUGUGCCUGAGGGGUCUGUAGGCAGCCUGUUUACUGAGGGAUGGGGCUGUGAUCCCACCUGGGUUGUUGUUUGCCCUGGGGCUUCUCAGGAGCUGGCUGAUGGGUGGGGCCAGAUUUUCCCCAAAUGGCCACCUCCAGAGAAAGGUACUGCUGCUGAAUAUUCCCCAGAUCUUUGCUUUCAAUGUCCUUCCCUCACAACAAGCCACAUUCAUCCCUGUUUUCCCAGGAUGUCCUCCAAGAACUGCGGUCAGGUUUGACCCAGAUUCCCUUGGAGACUUUUCUUUGCCCUGGGACUCAGUGCACGUGAAAGUCUGUAUGCACCUUUUAAGAAUGGGGUCUCCGUUUCCCCCCCCGUCCUGUGGAGCUCCUGCACACAAGCCCCACUGGCCUUCAAUGCCAGAUGCUCCAGGGGCUCUUUCUCCCAGGGCCGGAUCCCCACACGUGGGGGUUUACUGUGGGGCUCAGAACUCUCACUCCUGUAGGUGAGUCUCUGUGAACCAGUUAGUUUCCAGUCUGUGGAGCUUCCCACCCAGGAGGUAUGGGGUUGUUUAUAUCAUGAAAUCGUCCCUCCUACAUCUUGAUGUGGCCUCCUUUUUUUCUUCUGGAGUAGGAUAUCUUUUUUAAGGUUUCCGGUCCAUUUUGGUGAAGUGUGCUCAGUCUUUAGUUGUGAAUUUUGUUGUUUUUAGAAAAGAAGUUGAGCUCCAGUCCUUCUAUUCUGCCAUCCUAAUUCCGUCACUCUCCACUCACUUCUUUUUUGUGUAGCGUUACUAUAAUAGAUCCAUGUCCAUUAACUGCAUAUUGUCUAUGGCUGCUUUCAUGUUCCAACGGCAGAGCAUUUGCUUCUGAGACCCUGUGGCCCGUAAAGCCUAAAAUAUUUAUCAUCUGCCUCUUUGCAGAGGGACGCUGCCAAUACCCGACCUAGCAUGUCAUGCCCUGUCCAGCCCUGCUGGUGCAUCCACCUCUCUGACCAUGCUGCUCAUUGUCAGCUGCGGUGCCCUCCCCAUGUCUCCCCAAACAUGGCAAACACAUCACCAUAAUGAGACCAUUGCACUGGCUGGUCCCUCUGCCUAAAUUUCACUCACCCAGGUAGCCGUGUGGCUUACUCCGUAUCUCUUUCAAAUCUAGAUUCAAAUAGCUCCUUCUCAAAGAAGGUACCCUCAUCAUCUCAUUUAAUUCUGCAAACCAUCCACACACACCAAGCUGUCUUAACUCCCAUUUUUUCCAUAGAACUUAUCACCUUUUGAAACUAAAAUAAGUUAAUGAUUUACUCCAUCCAUUUUUUCGCUUCCUGCGGAAUAUGUUCUCUUGAAGAGUUUGUACCCUACGUGCUACGGCAGUGCUUGGCGCUUCGCAGGCCUUUAGGAAGCGCUGGUUGGAUGAGACGAUGCUGAAGGGGCAGAACAUGACCCCAUGCCUUGGGUCCCUCUCCGCCUCCUCCUGUCAUCACAGCCCUUACCUGCCCUCCUCCGUAAACACUCUCUGAGUAACGUGUUGAUCUCCAUUUUUGUGUGGUGUUUUCCUUUACAGUUGGAUCAAGUUUUCUAUGUCCCUACAAAAUACAUGCAGUUAAGCCAGAUUUCUACCCUUAUAUAGACUGAGUGGAACUUGCAGGUCCCCUUCUGAGACGUCCCUUUUUUCCUCAAUAUUGUUUAAGACGUCCAGUCACAUCGAUGCAAGCAGUGAUAACGUACUCCUCCUCACUGCUGGAUGGCAUUCCAGGUAGGAGUGUACCCAGUCCAUCUCUCUUCACUGCAGCACGUAUUUAGGUGGCUGCAGUUUUUCUUGACAGGCUGUACUGUCAGAACAUUCUUACAUCCACCUCCUCUGCCGCUGUAAGGUCUUUCUUGGAGUUCACGCCGAGGGAUGGGCUCACCGGGUAGCAGGGAUGUGCGUUACUCAGCUUAUUGGCUCAUACCCGAAUUGUCUUCCACGGAAGGACACAGCUGAUGCCUCUGCUAUCGGUGGAGAAGAGUCCCACGGCUCCACUUCCUCAUAACGCUUGGCCACAGCAGCGUGUACAGUGGAAACUCAGUGUGGUUUUCACUUGUGUCUCUGAUCAUCAAGAAACGGAGAAUCUUUCCAUAUGUUUAUGAGCAUUUGUUAUUCCUUUUCUGUGAAAUGCCUAUUCAUGUAUUUUUCCCAUUGAGUUGUUUUGCUUUUCCUCACUGAGUCACAGGAGCUUUUGCUCAAAAAGCAUAAUUUUCUCAAAGCCUUGUAUUUGAGGCCAAGUGCACGGCACAGCUUCAAGGUGCCCGAGGGCAAAACCGCCUGAGGUUUAACACAAUGAGGAAUGAGGAAUGACGGCCCUGACUUACUGGGAAAGAGUAAUAACACAAUACUUGUUGACUAAGUAAAUGACGGAAUAAACAAACACUCAGCAGAAUCCUCUAAACGCCUGGGCCUGUUCUAAGUUAGCCAAAUAAAUAUAUUCUUUGAGGAAUAUUUUAAUCAAAAACAGGUAGAAUGAAAAUAAAGUUGUGUACAUCAACGUCUCUGAGGAAUUGAUCAUUUCCUAAAAAUGUCCAAUAAACGAGGUUGCCUUUCAUGGAACAACUGACUUCAUGAGCAUAAUUAGCUGAAGUGGAUGCUAAUAUACGCAUCUUUAACUUGUCUUUCCCAUUGCAUGAGAACUGUUCUUUUAUAGGUCUAGACAGAAAUCAUAAACCUGACACUAAUAAAUAAUUUGUAUAGUAAUAUCCAAAUUACAUUUGUUACUCUGAUUUUCAAUAAUUCUUAUGUGAACUGUUUUAUGUUUAUUUUGUUUUCUUAAUCACUGUAGACUUUAAACCUAUUCUCUAUAACUCUGGUGUCUUGAAUUCUUAAAAUUACAUUUAUUCCAAUUCCAAUGCAACGCUAGUCAUUUGGCUAUGUUGGAAUGCACGAUGCCUAUUCAUCACUAAAAGGGUAUAUUGUACCAAGGAACUGAGAAAGCCACCCCGUGACACUCUGUUACUGGACGCUCUGUCUCACCUGAGAAACAUUUAAUCUGCUCAUUCCCUGCUCUGUUUAUUUGUAAAGAGAUUUCCCAUCUACUUGUCUGUGUGAGAAAACAGGAUGACCCUUCUUCAUCACGUGACCUACGCCGGGGAUUCUGGUUUCUUUAUCCUUCACCCUAUCAAGGACCUUGUUUUAUAACAGGUUAGAGAAGUUUGCCACAGAAAAUUCAGUGUCUCACUGUGUACUGAGUAAUACAUUUCCUAUUCUAACUCCAGCUUCUAAAAUGUUAAGGAGUAAUUUUAAUAAGAAAUUUAAAAUACGACUAAGAAUAUACAUGCGUGUAAGGUACCGUACAGGGAAUGUAGCCACUAUUUUAUAAUAACUUUAAAUGGUGUGUAAGCUAUAAAAAAUUGAAUGACUAUAUUAUACAUCUGAAACUAACAUAACACUGUAAAUCAACUAUAUUUAAAUUAAAAAAGAAAUAAUACAAAUCUGAAAUUGACUUCUAGACUCAUGAUUUCAGGAGUUCCCGUCCUGGCACAGCGGAAACGAAUCCGACUAGGAACCAUGAUGUUUCGGGCCCAAUCCCUGGCCUUGCUCAGUGGGUUAAGGAUCCCACGUUGCCAUGAGCUGUGGUGCAGGUCGCAGACACGGAUUGGAUCUGUCUUUGCUGUGGCUGUGGCAUCAGCAGGCAGCUGCAGCUCUGAUUAGAUCUAGCCUGGGAACCUCCAUAUGCCGUGGGUGUGGCCCUAAAAAGACAAAAAAAAAAAAAUACACUCAUGAUUUCAGAGUAUAUUAGAAAAUAUUAUUUGAACAGAAUUAUUUUAACUAUGUAAAAAGAGAAAGAUAAGUUUCCAGUUUGAAAGGGUCCCCUGGCAAUGUAGAACAGUAAAGGAAAAAGACCUACAUCAAAAUAUCUGUCUGUGAAGUUUCAAGACACUAGAGUUAGAGAGAACACGUUUAAAGUUAACAGUGAUAAAAAAAAAAUAAAACAAAAAACAGUUCGCCUAGAAAGUACUGAAAAUCCGAAGCACACCUGACAAUAACAGCAAUGGCAUAAUGGUUUAAAAUCGGGAGAAAAAAUGUUUCUGAGCUGUAUUGGUAAUUCUGUGUCCAAUCAAAUAAUCAACCACAUGGAAGCGUGGAAUAAAGACCGUUUCAGGUGUGCACCCUCCAGAAACAAAAGCCAUCCUUCCUCUUUUGGAGACAUUACUGGACAACGUGCUUCUACAAAGCGAAGGAGGAAAACAAGCAGGAAGAAGCCACGGGAUCCAGGAGGCAGAGAAGCCACAGCAGAGCGAGGGGGGGGCCGCGUUCCCCAGGAGGACGGGAACGGAGCCCAGGCCCGGGAGCCCGGGGAUGCGGUGACGCAGUGGGUCUCGAGAGCGGCCAGCCAGCGUGGAACCAAGGAGGCGGGACCCCCAGAGACAUGGGCUCCAGGGGCUGAGAGAUGGCACACGUGUGUGGGUGCAGUGAAAGGACAUGCGACACUUUUAUAAAGAUUCUGGGCCGAACGAGUGAUACCAGGAGAACACUCAGCAAACAGGAAAGCAAUGCAAUUAUUACCUUCAGGGAAACAAUUUGUGUACGCAAAGACGUGCAGCUGCGUGUCAUCACACAUGUUAUCUGACUUAACUGUGAACCCAGUGUGACAUCCGAAUAUCCCACCAAAACGUACGAUCCGCAUACAGAACGGAUGGAAGAGGAGGGUGGGGGGUGCGGAGGGGUGUGUCUGUGUCCGUGACUGACGGGAGGGGAGGGUUAAAUCCUUUCUUCCCAUGCUAGGAAGUCAACAGGUAACAAUUAAAACUUAAAAAUCAUCAAGACUUGUAGAGUAAGGAUGCUGUUUAGACAUGUAGAGCUAUUUCCAGAUAAACCAGUUAAAAGCAGUGGAAGUGGUGGAUCGGCACUGGGCGGAAGACGGGCAGGGGCUAACAUUUCUAUGUUAAGAUUCAUAGUUACUAGUUUUUUUAAACUUAAGUGUUUGCUUAGAUUAAAAAUAAAAAAUUAUUCAAUAACAUCAUCAAAUAAAAGAAAUGUUAUAUUAUUGCCAGUAUGAGAUAUCUCCAUGUACCAGGGGCGUGUCUGGGGCCUGCGAAGAGAAAGAUCUGGGCUUGGAGACCGGAAACAGACGGGCAGGCAGUGGCAGAGGUUUUUCUCAAGGUUAAACUAGCCAAUCGGCAGACACACGGCCCAGACCCGAUGUUCUGCCUCUAGCUCACUUUAGUUUACCCUAAAGUUUUCCACAACAGAGAUGUGAUCCCAGCAAUCCAUGAAGUGGGGAUGAUUAGCACCUGCAUUUUGCCCGAGAGAAAACGGAGGCUCAGCAAGAAGUUAGAGCCCAGGGUCACGGGACGGUCAAUGGCAGAGCCGGAGCCAAGCCCUCGGGACGUGUGCUCCCCAUGCACACACCACCU
rnacentral:lncRNA from 1 species